rnacentral:rRNA from 1 species
GAUGAACGCUGUCGGCGUGCCUAAUACAUGCCAGUCGAGCGAACAGACGAGGAGCUUGCUCCUCUGACGUUAGCGGCGGACGGGUGAGUAACACGUGGAUAACCUACCUAUAAGACUGGGAUAACUUCGGGAAACCGGAGCUAAUACCGGAUAAUAUAUUGAACCGCAUGGUUCAAUAGUGAAAGACGGUUUUGCUGUCACUUAUAGAUGGAUCCGCGCCGCAUUAGCUAGUUGGUAAGGUAACGGCUUACCAAGGCAACGAUGCGUAGCCGACCUGAGAGGGUGAUCGGCCACACUGGAACUGAGACACGGUCCAGACUCCUACGGGAGGCAGCAGUAGGGAAUCUUCCGCAAUGGGCGAAAGCCUGACGGAGCAACGCCGCGUGAGUGAUGAAGGUCUUCGGAUCGUAAAACUCUGUUAUUAGGGAAGAACAAAUGUGUAAGUAACUAUGCACGUCUUGACGGUACCUAAUCAGAAAGCCACGGCUAACUACGUG